AUCCAUAUGACGAGUCCUAAGUAGGACGAAAAGCGUUUCCUAGAU
rnacentral:hammerhead_ribozyme from 1 species